GGCUGACCUACCUGCAUUCUGGUAGGACUGGCUCAAGUGAGUUACGUUUUACCUCUGUGCUCCCUUUCUGCUUAAAGCAGGAAGGGGCGAGAGGCGGGUGAAGAUCAGUUGAGGAGAGAGACAGCCUCUCCAUCCCCUUUUUUUGUUGGCAUUUGCAGUGGAAGGGAUUGAUGGCUACUGGGGAGGACAUUGAAUGGCUUGAUCUGCCUGGCAAGUGGACCUAUGGAGUUUGCAGGGACGGGCGAAUCUUCUUUAUCAAUGAUGAAACAAAAUCUACUUGCUGGACUCAUCCAGGAAGUGGCUAUUCCAUCCAGAGUGGGCACUUUUCCUGGCCAGAUAUGCCCAAAGGCUGGGAAAUGGACACCACCUCAAUGGGAACUACUUUUUUCA